AGAGUGUGAUCCUGGCUCAGAACGAACGCUGGCGGCAGGCUUAACACAUGCAAGUCGAACGCGUGUAGCAAUGCACGAGUGGCGCACGGGUGAGUAACGCGUGGAUAUCUGCCUUUUGGUUCGGAAUAACCCCGGGAAACUGGGGCUAAUACCGGAUGGUUCCUUCGGGAUAAAGAUUUAUCGCCAAAAGAUGAGUCCGCCGUUCCGAUUAGCUAGUUGGUGAGGUAAUGGCUCACCAAGGCGACGAUCGGUAGCUGGUCUGAGAGGACGAUCAGCCACACUGGGACUGAGACACGGCCCAGACUCCUACGGGAGGCAGCAGUGGGGAAUAUUGGACAAUGGGGGCAACCCUGAUCCAGCCAUGCCGCGUGAGUGAUGAAGGCCUUCGGGUUGUAAAGCUCUUUUGGCGGGGACGAUGAUGACGGUACCCGCAGAAUAAG
rnacentral:rRNA from 1 species